AGGGUUUGAUCCUGGCUCAGAGUGAACGCUGGCGGCGUGCCUAACACAUGCAAGUCGAACGAGUUUUCGCAGAGUAUCGUGGAAAUUAGUGGCAGACGGGUGAGUAUCACAUAGGCCAUUUACCCUUGAGAGGGAAAUAACCCCGAGAAAUCGGGGCUAAUGUCCCAUAAGACCACAGCCUUUCCUACGAAAGGCAGAGGUCAAAGCUCCGCAAGGGGCGCUUGAGGAUGAGCCUGUGUCCUAUCAGCUAGUUGGUGAGGUAACGGCCCACCAAGGCUAAGACGGGUAUCCGACCUGAAAGGGUGACCGGACACACUGGAACUGAGACACGGUCCAGACUCCUACGGGAGGCAGCAGUGGGGAAUUUUGGACAAUGGGGGCAACCCUGAUCCAGCAACGCCGCGUGAGGGAUGAAGGUUUUCGGAUUGUAAACCUCUUUUGCAGGGGACGAAUUCAUCCGUGAAUAACGGAUAUUGACGGUACUCUGCGAAUAAGCCACGGCUAACUACGUGCCAGCAGCCGCGGUAAUACGUAGGUGGCAAGCGUUACUCGGAAUUACUAGGCGUAAAGCGCAGGUAGGCGGUUGGAUAAGUCCAUAAUGAAAUCUCCCGGCUUAACUGGGAGGGGUUUAGGGAUACUGUCCGGCUUGAGUGUGGGAGAGGUCACUGGAAUUCCUGGUGUAGCGGUGAAAUGCGUAGAGAUCAGGAGGAACACCUAUGGCGAAAGCAGGUGACUGGCCCAAUACUGACGCUGAGCUGCGAAAGCUAGGGGAGCAAACAGGAUUAGAUACCCUGGUAGUCCUAGCUGUAAACGAUGCAGACCAGACGUGGUGGGUAUCGACCCCCUCCGCGCCGAACUUAACGGAUUAAGUCUGCCACCUGGGGAGUACGGCCGCAAGGUUGAAACUCAAAGGAAUUGACGGGGACCCGCACAAGCGGUGGAGUAUGUGGUUUAAUUCGACACAACACGAAAAACCUUACCUGGGCUCGAACGACUGGAAGUAAGAUCUGUGAAAGCGGAGAUGAUCUGUAAAGUCAGGAACCAGCCGAGGUGCUGCAUGUUUGUCGUCGGCUCGUGUCGUGAGAUGUUGGGUUAAGUCCCGCAACGAGCGCAACCCCCGUUUCCUGUUGCCACCCGCAAGGGGGCACUCUGGAGAGACUGCCCACGAUGAGUGGGAGGAAGGUGGGGACGACGUCAAAUCACCAUGGCCCUUAUGUCCAGGGCUACACACGUACUACAAUGGCCAUCACAACGGGAUGCAAUGGAGCAAUCCGGAGCCAAUCCUUGUAAAAAUGGCCCCAGUUCAGAUUGUGGGCUGCAACUCGCCCACAUGAAGGUGGAAUCGCUAGUAAUCGCGAAUCAGAAGGUCGCGGUGAAUACGUUCCCGGGUCUUGUACACACCGCCCGUCACACCACGAAAGCCCGCUGCAACAGAAGUGCCCCCG
rnacentral:rRNA from 1 species